UGACAGUACUCCUACGGGGAGGCAGCAGUGGGGGAAUAUUGCACAAUGGGCGCAAGCCUGAUGCAGCCAUGCCGCGUGUGUGAAGAAGGACCUUCGGGUUGUAAAGCACUUUCAGUCGUGAGGAAGGUAGUGUAGUUAAUAGCUGCAUUAUUUGACGUUAGCGACAGAAGAAAGCACCGGCUAACUCCGUGCCAGUAGCCGCGGUAAUACGGAGGGGUGCGAGCGUUAAUCGGAAUUACUGGGCGUAAAGCGCAUGCAGGUGGUUUGUUAAGUCAGAUGUGAAAGCCCGGGGCUCAACCUCGGAAUAGCAUUUGAAACUGGCAGACUAGAGUACUGUAGAGGGGGGUAGGAAUUUCAGGUGUAGCGGUGAAAUGCGUAGAGAUCUGAAGGAAUACCGGUGGCGAAGGCGGCCCCCUGGACAGAUACUGACACUCAGAUGCGAAAGCGUGGGGAGCAAACAGGAUUAGAUACCCUGGUAG
rnacentral:rRNA from 1 species